UUUGGAGCAGCCUGGUAGCUCGUCGGGCUCAUAACCCGAAGGUCGUCGGUUCAAAUCCGGCCCCCGCAACCA
rnacentral:tRNA from 1 species